rnacentral:rRNA from 1 species
AGCCUGAACGCUGGCGGCGUGGCUAAGACAUGCAAGUCGCACGGGUGUAGCAAUACACCAGUGGCGGACGGGUGAGUAAAGUAUCGCUAACGUACCCUUUUGUCUGGGAUAGCCGAGGGAAACUUCGGGUAAUACCGGUUGACAUCACGAGCAGGCAUCUGCUUGUGCUCAAAGGCGUAAGCCGCUGAAAGGAGCGGGGCGAGUAUACGGUAUCAGCUAGUUGGCGGGGUAACGGCCCACCAAGGCGACGACGCGUAGCCGGACUGAGAGGUUGGCCGGCCACAUUGGGACUGAGACACUGCCCAGACUCCUACGGGGGGCUGCAGUAACGAAUCUUCCGCAAUGCACGCAAGUGUGACGGAGCGACGCCGCGUGCGGGACGAAGCCCCUCGGGGUGUAAACCACUGUCAGGGGAUAGGAGAGUUCUGAUCAUCCCCAGAGGAAGGCACGGCUAACUCUGUGCCAGCAGCCGC